rnacentral:lncRNA from 1 species
CGUUGCAUGUAUCUACUAGCACAUGUUGGACUGAAAUUUGACUUAGGAGAAAACAACGAUUAUGACAUGUCAUAUGCUUAAACUACCUGAUUUAGCUCUAGGAACCGUUGUUAUUUUGUAUCACUGCAGUAUCAGUGUGGUGGAUAUCCCAGGUAGUUUAGAUUUCAGUUACGCUCGUGCUGGGAUGCCGAGUGUAUUUUUUACAGUAGUAUUCAGACUGUUCCGGACUGUUGGGGGCCGUCGGGGUUGACGGUGGA